ACCGACAAGACUUUGGCGAUAUAGGGGAUCAGCGGCAGGUUGAGGAUCAACAGCACCAGAUUGCCGAUGAACAUGGACAUGAUCACGGCCCAGAAAAUCUGCGGGUCGUCGAUCAUCAGGCGCGGACC
rnacentral:ncRNA from 1 species